rnacentral:rRNA from 1 species
AUUGAACGCUGGCGGCAUGCCUUACACAUGCAAGUCGAACGGCAGCAUAGGAGCUUGCUCCUGAUGGCGAGUGGCGAACGGGUGAGUAAUAUAUCGGAACGUGCCCUAGAGUGGGGGAUAACUAGUCGAAAGACUAGCUAAUACCGCAUACGAUCUACGGAUGAAAGUGGGGGAUCGCAAGACCUCAUGCUCCUGGAGCGGCCGAUAUCUGAUUAGCUAGUGUGGGUAAAGCCUACCAAGGCAACGAUCAGUAGCUGGUCUGAGAGGACGACCAGCCACACUGGGACUGAGACACGGCCCAGACUCCUACGGGAGGCAGCAGUGGGGAAUUUUGGACAAUGGGGGCAACCCUGAUCCAGCAAUGCCGCGUGAGUGAAGAAGGCCUUCGGUUGUAAAGCUCUUUUGUUCAGGGAAGAAACGGUAGUAGCGAAUAACUAUUACUAAUGAC